AUUUUCGGAUUUAUAGUCAAACCCUCAGAACUUUAAUUUGUAAGCAUUGAAUCUGAACAUGGUGAAAUGUGACGACAAAGUGGAUGGACUUCACAGUCAGGAAGGAACCGAUUGCAGCAACGAUGAACAGGAAAACCUACUGAUUUACAGGGCAGAGAUUUAUCGCCUGGAGAGCUUCAAAAAUUGGCCCUGCCAGUCAAUAGUACGGAAAGAGGACCUAGCAAGAAAUGGCUUCUAUUACCUUGGAGAUAGGGAUAGGGUUCAAUGUGUCUUUUGCAAUGCCAUAUUAAGUUGUUGGGAAAAGGGAGACAAUGUUAUUGAAGAACACAAGCGGCACUCAAAAAGCUGUCCUCUUGUAUUGGGGAAAAGAACAACCAAUAUACCCUAUUCUCCGAGCCAGGACUGUCUAUCUGAUGUGCAGCCAGCUUUUCCCGAGUUCCAGAAUUACACCAAGAGGCUGGAAUCCUUUAAUGAGUUCUGGCCGAAAGCCAUGAAACAGAGACCCAAGGAACUGGCAGCUGCUGGGUUGUUCUACACAGGUAGGAAGUGGGCACUGAACAGUUCAGUAUAAACAACAACCAAAAGAUGUCCAUGUAUGAUAAAUACGGUACAUGCAUGAAUAUUUGAAUCAGAUUUUGUAAUACAUGUAACUGUUUAAAAAUAGCACCUUUAACUAAAAAAAAAUCCCUAUAUUUUACUCCAAAUUCAAACACUAUUUCUGAAUCUCUCUUUUUUUUCAAUUCAUAGUGAAGAAAAAUUUAUUUCUUUAAUAAUUUGAUCAUCAUGCCUAAAAUUUUGUGUUUUUUUUACAUAUAUAUGGUAAAAAAUGCUUAAAAUUAAUUUCAAAUGGCUUGAAGAAUUCACAUAGUUAUUUACCCCUUCAGUUGCUUUUAUUGAUUCCUUGUAGAAAAGGGGGAUGCUGUGAAGUGCUUCCAGUGUGGUGGAAUGCUUCGUAACUGGGACCCCCAGGACAAACCCUGGGAGGAGCAUGCUCGGUGGUUCCCAAGGUGUUUAUUUAUUCGUGAGAAUAACCUCAUGUCUCCAGUAAGGGUUCCUCUCCACAGAGAAUUCAUACGGCGUAGAAAAACCUCCCUGGGAUAUGACGAAAGCCUAAUUGAAAUGUUUGAACUAGACAGACGACGCAGAGGAUUGCCUGACUGUGAAGAUGAAGACAUAUUUGUGACAGAAAUAGAAAAGUUCAAAGUUCAACAAGAAUCCCAACCUCCUUCUCAAAUAUCAAAUCCACCAAUCAAUGAAGUUGUAUGGAAUUUUAAUGAGGAGAGUCUUGGUAAUUCCGAUGAGCCAAUGGGUUAUGAUGAGGUAGACAUGGGUGGGAGGGCGUGUGUGGGGUGUAAGCGGACCGACUCCAGGGAUAGCCUCACCCUCCAGCCCUGUCGCUGCAGUUGUUGCGACAAGUGUCUGGAUGACCUGACUCACUGUCCCUCCUGUAAAACAAAAGUCAGGGCAGCCGCUAAAACAAACUAAACAGGCUGGCUAGUGUGGAACCGAUAACUAUUGACAUUUCUCUGUGUUCUUAAAUACUGGUACUAAGGCUUGUAAUUGAAAAUGUUUUGUUUUGAAUGCUAGUAUGCUGUAUAUUUUGUACAAUUUUCAAUUCCUUAUUAAGUACAGAUUUUUAAAAUGUAAAUUUUAAUAAGAAUCAAUCAAGCUAUGAGAUGCAUUGUGUGUUUUUAUUCAAUUAAAAUAUGUUGUGUGCAUGUAGACAGAGUCAUAGGCAAUUACUACAGUACACUCUGUAGUAUAUCAUGUACCAAUUAACUUAUAGACACUGGAGGUUAAUGUGUUUUAGUUAUUUUGACUGUUAAAUUCACACUACCAGUUGAUAUUAAAUUAAGAAAAUACACAUUAUGAAUCUUCGGACAUAUUCUUAGUUUAAAAAUUUAUGUUUAUGAGAAAAAUGGCAUCCUCGUUUUAUACAGAUACUGUACAUGUAUUUGUAAUGUAAAAUUGUAAUAUUAACAUUGCAUGCACCUUUAAUAAAAUGAAAAUUUU
rnacentral:misc_RNA from 1 species